GACGAACGCUGGCGGCGUGCCUAAUACAUGCAAGUAGAACGCUGAAGGAGGAGCUUGCUCUUCUGGAUGAGUUGCGAACGGGUGAGUAACGCGUAGGUAACCUGCCUGGUAGCGGGGGAUAACUAUUGGAAACGAUAGCUAAUACCGCAUAACAACAGUUGUUGCAUGACAGCUGUUUAAAAGAUGCAAUUGCAUCACUACCAGAUGGACCUGCGUUGUAUUAGCUAGUUGGUGAGGUAACGGCUCACCAAGGCAACGAUACAUAGCCGACCUGAGAGGGUGAUCGGCCACACUGGGACUGAGACACGGCCCAGACUCCUACGGGAGGCAGCAGUAGGGAAUCUUCGGCAAUGGACGGAAGUCUGACCGAGCAACGCCGCGUGAGUGAAGAAGGUUUUCGGAUCGUAAAGCUCUGUUGUAAGAGAAGAACGAGUGUGAGAGUGGAAAGUUCACACUGUGACGGUAUCUUACCAGAAAGGGACGGCUAACUACGUGCCAGCAGCCGCGGUAAUACGUAGGUCCCGAGCGUUGUCCGGAUUUAUUGGGCGUAAAGCGAGCGCAGGCGGUUAGAUAAGUCUGAAGUUAAAGGCUGUGGCUUAACCAUAGUACGCUUUGGAAACUGUUUAACUUGAGUGCAAGAGGGGAGAGUGGAAUUCCAUGUGUAGCGGUGAAAUGCGUAGAUAUAUGGGGGAACACCGGUGGCGAAAGCGGCUCUCUGGCUUGUAACUGACGCUGAGGCUCGAAAGCGUGGGGAGCAAACAGG
rnacentral:rRNA from 1 species